rnacentral:rRNA from 1 species
GACGAACGCUGGCGGCGUGCUUAACACAUGCAAGUCGAACGCUGAAGCUUGGUGCUUGCACUGGGUGGAUGAGUGGCGAACGGGUGAGUAAUACGUGAGUAACCUGCCCUUGACUCUGGGAUAAGCCUGGGAAACUGGGUCUAAUACUGGAUACGACAUGCCACUGCAUGGUGGUGUGUGGAAAGGGUUUUACUGGUUUUGGAUGGGCUCACGGCCUAUCAGCUUGUCGGUGGGGUAAUGGCCUACCAAGGCGACGACGGGUAGCCGGCCUGAGAGGGUGACCGGCCACACUGGGACUGAGACACGGCCCAGACUCCUACGGGAGGCAGCAGUGGGGAAUAUUGCACAAUGGGCGGAAGCCUGAUGCAGCGACGCCGCGUGAGGGAUGACGGCCUUCGGGUUGUAAACCUCUUUCAGCGCGGAAGAAGCGAGAGUGACGGUACGUGCAGAAGAAGCGCCGGCUAACUACGUG